GAUGAACGCUGGCGGCGUGCCUAAUACAUGCAAGUCGAGCGAACACACGCGUACCUUUCUCCUCUGACGUUAUCCGCGGACGUGUUACUAACACGUGUGUAACCUACCUAUAAGUCUCGUAUCACUUCGUGUAACCGUAUCUCAUACCGUCUAAUAUAUUGAACCGCAUGGUUCAAUACUUUACGACGGUUUUGCUGUCACUUAUAGAUUGAUCCAGGCCGCAUUAGGUAGUUUGUAAGGUAACGGCUUACCAAGGCUACGAUGCGUAGCGGACCUGAGAGGGUGAUCGGCCACACCGGAACUGAGACACGGUCCAGACUCCUACGGGAGGCAGCAGUAGGGAAUCUUGGGCAAUGGGCGAAAGCUUGACGGAGCAAGGCCGCGUGAGGGAUGAAGGUCUUCGGAUUGUAAAACGCUGUUAUUAGGAAAGAAAAAAUGUGUAAGAAAAUAGGAAGGUCAUGACGGUACCGAAAGAGAAAGCAACGGCUAACUACGUG
rnacentral:rRNA from 1 species